CUCACUUGGACACACACACCAGAACAUCACCUAAAGCAAAUUGUGAAUGGUCAUCUCCUGGGAACAGACAACAAGGGCAUGGGGGUUCUUUAGGGAGGUAAUGCAAGAGGCUGGGACUCAGCAUCCCAAACUUGCUCACGAGGCAGUUUCCAGUUACGCACAGACGUCAUCAGCACCUUCGGUGAACAGUCAGCAAAUGAUGCUAUCAGCAGUAUUUAAUGCCGCCACAGUCUUUGCCCCGAGCAGCAAGUUUUAUGUAUCUAUGAGAAGUGAUGCAACCACAGAUGCAAUUCCCAGCAGCACAGACUGGAUGGAUAAGGAGGGGGGGCAGGGGCUCAUCCUGCAAAUUGUUCCCAAAUGCUCCUUGGACUGUGAACAAGUGGAGGAAAAAAAAGUACAGUGAGCCUACUGAUACACGGGUUGUGGAGCAAGGCCCUGGUGGUCACUAGCUUUUAAAGGCCUAAACAGAAAAUGGAGCCCCUGCCUGGAAGCCUGAUGGGGAAAUUCAGAGCAGAAAAUCUGGUCAAGAUAAAGCCGCAGAGGCCGCUGAACACCAGUCAUUCCUGGGGAAAGGAAUUGACACCAAG